GGCAACGUGCCAGAGUGGUUAAUGGGUAGCACUCGAAAUGCUAUGACUUCGGUCGCGCAUGUUCGAAUCAUGCCGUUGUCG